rnacentral:rRNA from 1 species
UAGGGAAUCUUCCACAAUGGGUGCAAACCUGAUGGAGCAAUGCCGCGUGAGUGAAGAAGGUCUUCGGAUCGUAAAGCUCUGUUGUUAGAGAAGAACACGUGCUAGGUAACUACUAGCGCCUUGACGGUAUCUAACCAGAAAGUCACGGCUAACUACGUGCCAGCAGCCGCGGUAAUACGUAGGUGACAAGCGUUGUCCGGAUUUAUUGGGCGUAAAGGGAGCGCAGGCGGUCUGUUUAGUCUAAUGUGAAAGCCCACGGCUUAACCGUGGAACGGCAUUGGAAACUGACAGACUUGAAUGUAGAAGAGGAAAAUGGAAUUCCAAGUGUAGCGGUGGAAUGCGUAGAUAUUUGGAGGAACACCAGUGGCGAAGGCGAUUUUCUGGUCUAACAUUGACGCUGAGGCUCGAAAGCGUGGGGAGCGAACAGGAUUAGAUACCCUGGUAGUCCACGCCGUAAACGAUGAGUGCUAAGUGUUGGGGGCUUUCCGGCCCUCGGUGCUGGAGCUAACGUAUUAAGCACUCCGCCUGGGGAUUACGACCGCAAGGUUG